GUCCAAGCCUGUGAUUUUCAGUAGCAAAGGCACUUUCCGAUGAGAAAAAAUUCAUGCGUUUCAAUGAGUGUAGCUGUCUGCUUCUGGGGAAAAAUGAACGACUGUCAGCCAUGGGAAAAUAUCCUUUUCUCUUCCUUCUGGCAAGGGAAUGACAUCGUUGUAUAAACUGGUUGGUGUCUGUAAGGCAAGGGGCAGUCGCUGCAGCUGCAUCUUCCUCUCUGCAGAGGGUGGUGGGAGCUACAAGGAGGAAAACAAAGGUGAUUCCCUGGCCUUUCACUGCCACGGGAGAAGCAGAAGAGGCUUUGCAAAGAGCAUAAAAAACCUAUUCCCACCCCGGGUGUUAUUAGAGGCUAUUCUUCCUGGAAGAGCUGAAGCUGCAAUACCAACACCCUGAGAGCUUGACCAGUCAUACUCAGAAAUAUGAAGAGAAUGUAACUAGAGGAAGUAGUGGUUGGAAGCUGGGGGGAAGAAGUUACAGCUCACUGGGGAGACAGCUCUUCUUACAGCACACUAAUUUUCAGUAUUUGCAGCUCACUUCCUGUAUGAGAAACACUGUAAAGUGAAAUGGGAGGUGACCUGAGGCAGUUGCUCAAACUAGCAGCAGGACCGUAAGCCCAUAUUGGACACCUGGGUUGGCUGGUGGAGCCCAGUGAGGAUCUGUCUUGGCUUCUGCCUGUCUUUGGUCUGCCCAGGGCUGUUUCAUCUGCAUUACUGGGACCAGAAGCUCUGGGAAGAUGAAGUGACAAACCCCAUCUGUGGCUGAACCAGGACAUGAGCACGAGUUCCCUUGCAGCUUUGUUGACUGCUGCAGCCAUGUAGACACUCCUCGUCAUACUUCUGCUGAGUCUGAAGAAAAAACGAUCCUGUGAGACUGGAUCCAGGGUGAGAAAAGGACUUUUUUACACCUUCUUGGAAGAGGCUUCUCCACACCUCCUCAGAGUUCCUUGUAUUAGAAAACCAUGCAUGUUUCCUGUGUGAUAGUACAGCAAUUUGGAAGAUCAAAGAUUGGUAAUUGUUGCAAGACAGAGUAACAUAGCAGGAUUUGGCUUAUUUGUUUUUCUUCUUUGACAGUGAUGAUAAGCAACCAAUAAAAAUUAAACAAUCAAAA